AAAUAUGUACAAUAUGUCAGAGAUUAUUACAAUAACUGUCUAACUGGCUUCCCUGUCUCCAGUGAGGCAGUAAGUGCUAUGUAGAAAAAUAAAGUUGGGUGAGAGAAAUGGAGAAAGACUGGGUGGGAGGUUUGCUUUUCUGUCUACAAUGGUCAGGGGACGUCUGUGAUAAAGUGAGAUCUGAGCAGAAACUUGAAGCAAAGGUUAUCUCAGAGAAGAACAUUCCAGGCAGAGAGAACAGUGAGUGCAACCAUCAUGGGGAAGCUACUCACCACAUGUGAGGUGUGGCAGUAUAGUUGGAAGUACGUCAGAGUAGAUGGGACUGGGGAGAUGAGGUUAGAGAUAAGGUCAGAGUUUCAAGGUUAAGGAUGGGCAGAUCAUGUACAGUCUUGUAAGUUCUGGUAAAGGACUUGGUUUUUCUUCUGCCAAAGGGAAGGGGAGGAAGCCAUGGGAGAAUUAAGAACAAGGAACUGGCCUGAUCAGACUUAACAUUUUAAGAAACUCACUCUGACUGGUCUGUGGAGAAUACACUGUGGGAAAGGAAUGGUGGUGGCAAGGAGACCAGUUAGACAGAUCUUAUAAUAAUCCAGGAGGAGAGAGGCAAAGGGGAGAGAAUCUUAAACAAGCUCUACACCUAAUGUGCAGAGCCUGACGCUGGAGCUUCAUCUCACGACUCUGAGAUCAUGACUGAGUUGGAAUCAAAGUCAAACGCUUAACAGACUGAACCACCCAGGUGUCCCUUACAGUAUUUUAAAGUACAAAAUAGUAUUUACCUCAUAGGAUUUAUUUGAGGAUCAGAUGUGAUAUUAUUCAUGUAUAAUGCUUAGCCCAGGGGCUGGUAUAUGGUCAAUGUUCAGCAAACGGGAGCUACAACGACAUCAUUACUGUUGUAAUUAGUGAUGGAGUUGCAUGGCUGGUGUGCACAGACUACUCCACUCCAGCUGGACCUGGUGUCCUUGAUUUUUUUUUUUUUUCAAAAGAUUUAUUUAUUUUAGUGGGGUCAGGGUCAGGAGGGGCAGAGGGAGAGGGAGAGAGAAUCUCAGGCAGAUGCCCAGGUGAGUGCAGAGCUCCAUGUGGGGCUUGAUUUUGUAACUCUAAGAUCAGACCUGAGCUGAAAUCAAGAGUCUGACGCUCAGCACCCAGGUGCCUCAAACGUCCUUGAUUUUGAUAGUAUGUCCUUGACCCCAGCUGGGCUGAUGACUUUGAUGCCUAAGCCUCUCUGUUUUACUUCCUCAAGGAGGAGGCUUGGUUUCCUACUAGGCUGAAGAGGAGCAGCUGUGCUGCUCCAUUUGGUAGAGGAGUCCUGGAUGGUGGACUUAGUGCUUUUCUUUUUUAAAUAACUGAAGUACAUACAGGUGACACACAGUGUUGCGUUAGUUUCAGGUAUGCAACGUAGUGAUUCAACAACUCUGUUUGCUGUGCUGUGCACACCACCAAUAUUACUGCCACCUGUCACCAUGCAAUGAUAUUACACUAUGUCCUAUUACUCUUACUAUGACCAUGUUCUAUGACUAUGACUAUUGCUACUAACUAUGUUCCCAGCGCUGUGCCUUUCAUUCCCAGGAGAAUGACACAUGGACACUCAAUCAAGCCUUCAGUUUCCAGCCUCCCCACCGAACUGGACACUUUCAGAGAGAUUAAUUCUUACUUGGAGAGAAUGAAAUCAGCACAACAGAGGAAAGCAGAGCCUGGAGACAGAGAACUGAUGACAAGACUUGAGCUUGAUCCAGCUCCAUCUAAAGCCAGAACGCCCGUGGACUUCCAGGUUGCAAGAGCUGAUAAAUUCCCUCUCCUCCUCCCUCUCCCCCAAUCUUUUUCCUUAGCUGGAUCUUCAUUCGAUUUCACUGACGCCUGGCCAAGUGUGUGUACUCAACUCCACGACUGAGAGCCCUGGCUUCUGCAAGGUACUCUCCUCAUCACACUCACUCUUCUGAGGUCCUAGCCUGUUUGUGAUCUCCGCUUUCUGACUGCCCGCCCUGUGGAUACCAGGCUGGCUUAACCGGUUCCUACCUCUGGUCAUGUCCUUGUAAGGCUAGGAGUCCCUGGAGAUCACCAAAAAAAAAAAAAAAAAAAGGACUUGUCAGGAGAACUUGCAGUCCCUCCAAAGGUGCCCCAUUGAUUCAAAAGCCAGAUACUUCUUUGUCAACAAAGGCAUCCCAUGGUGAAAAGUCUGGAGGAUAAAUUGCCCUUGGCUCAUUGUUGUGCAAUCAGAAAUUCAUUCAUGUGAGGAAAAAGCAGAUAAAACUGAUGGAAAAACGCCAAAGAAAGCGGCUGUCAGACUGAUUGCUUUUUGGCAGAGGCUGAGAUCAAGAUUUACCAAGGAAAGCCCACGUAAAUAUGAUCCAAGAGGAAGUGACAGAGCUCAAGAGCAUUACUAAGCCUGGAAACUGGAAUUUCACUUACCUUGCAAGAUAUCAGGUGCCUCCUUCAAAUGAAUUUUUAAGUAUCUCCGUGAUGAUGAGGAAGAACCGAGACAUCAAUUAGGAUUCAGGAAGACAAGUCUUUGCAGAAAAUGCAUAGAGCAUCAAGGAUUGCUAUUAAUAUUUGGAAGUUUAAAAGAGAGUAUAUUUUCCUCAGUCAACAAAUGACAAAAGUAAAGGCAUGGUUUUCAUUGUUUCUGGAAGAAGCCUGGCAGCAUUCCAUUCAGACAUCUGCCCUUUGAUUGUUCUAUUUUCCUCUCUACUUAUUUCAGUCCUUCUAAUCUUCAAGGCUGAGUCUGAAUAUUUCUUCCUGAGGCUUCUUCUAAUCAUCUCUGCCCUUAAGGACAACUCCCUCCUUCAACUCCUAUAGCCCUUACCUGUCAUUUGAAAAUUUAGUACCUAUGUAUUAUACUAUGAUUGAAUAAAUAAAUGUUCAUCUUCUGCAAGUA